GGGUGCUUAGCUGAGUGUGGGGGACCGUCUUCACACGGCGGGGGUCACUGGUUCAAAUCCAGUAGCGCCCACCA
rnacentral:tRNA from 1 species